AGUGGACUAAAUAAACAGCUAUUCCUUGGAUCAUGAGGACUAUAAAGGCUGUCAGGUAAGCUUCUUAGAGUCCCACUUUGUUUUACAGGCAGGGAAUGCACAACUCAGAAACAAAAUGUGAUCCUCAGGCAUUAUCUGAAUGUAGGCACAGGAUGCAGCAAUAUUGAUGUAGCUAAGCAGGUCCAGAUCUGGUCAGUGUCUGGACGUGAGAACACCGACACAUUACCAUAAGGAGAAAGGCAGGAAAUCAGUGCAAUAAAAAUGAUUUUUCCUGUAGGUAAAAAAGACGAUUGCAGUGACAGUACUAAAUUAGAGGACUGUCUCUGUCUCUACAUUCUUCAGCUGUGUGAUACACCCCUUUCUGCCUCAAGUGCCCAAGUGAGAUUUGACCAAUUCCAUGGACCACAACAGAGAGUCAUGGAGUUGGAGCACCAACUAAUAUUGGUUCUGGUUCACUCAAACAAGAAAGCAAAGUCACAAGUCUGAGAGGAAGCAAAUCAACCUGGGGAUAACAAACUAAUGCAAAUGUGUUGGGUACAGAGCAGCUGAGAGACAAGCAACUUUUGGCACCUCUUGUCUUUGAGGUUUUCUACCUCAGCUGUUCAUUAGAAAAACUUGUAACUAAGGAUUACCACUGCUUAUUUCCUCUUCUCUCCCAAUCCAUUUUAUUUUUGUGCCACGCCUUUCCAUUCUCAUUUGAAAGCCUGAUGACAGAGACUGUCUUUCUAGCGAUCUGGGACUUCCGGGGAGGUGCCUCCGGUAAUGGCGGAAUUCCUCUGACCGGGAGGAAUCUGCUCCAUGGGAAUCUGGGUCUGGCCACCACGGCGAAGGCGGAGACCCGUUAAAAUCACAGGCAGGAGAAGCCUGUGAGUGUGGGAUUCGGCGGGCACCUUUUGCGCCUCCCCCACUCGCGGGGAAACCCGGUUUUUGGGGCUCCGGAGUGACGUGGGGUGAGUGGCGCGGUGCAUCGAAUCGUCUGCUUCUUCCACGGAGCGAAGCCGCAUAGCUGUUGCUGGAGAGCGCUGACCUUUUCCUGUGGACAAUUUGACUUUAAAGUAAUUACCCAUGAGUAGAUCUGAAACGGAAGAAUUGGAUUUCUAAAUGUUUAAUUUGGUAUCGCAACGGGGAGGUUCAAAACAGGAAGUCCGCCUUCCCCUUUUGUAAAUAGACUGAGGCAAUGAAGUUGCAAGCUGGAGUCCUGGAAAGUCUUUUGUAAAAGAUUAAAUUUCCAUCAAUAAAGAACAUUAAACCCCCUCUUGGAGGCAGGAGAGAGAGGGGGAAGUUGCGGAUUGAUUAUGCCUGUGGGAGAGAGUGAAGAGAUUUAAAACACCGCCGCUCUGACCCUGGAAACGGGCUGCUAGUAGUACUGACGUCUUUUGGAAUGUUCAUUGACAGCAUUUAGAACGUUCAUUGACAGCUAGUUAAACAAGAGAAAUACAUUGUUUCUUCUGUCUCCGGCUGCUUUAAAAAGGAGUAAAAGUAACUGAAAAUUGAAACUAAUUUGAAACUAAUUUUGGAUUGUUGAAAAGAGGAUACUAUUGACUAUUACAAAUAGAAACUGUUUCCCCCCUGGUGGAAGCCUUUGAAACCGGUUGUUUUACAAGAGCUGGGAUAGGGGAAUCUCCAGCUGCAAGUUAAAAACCGUGAGACUCUGGGACUGACCUUGAAUCUUUUAAGUGUUAUGGUAAAUGGAAGAGGAAAAACAGACCAGUCAACUGCUGACAAAACAUUAAGGUCUGGGAGGACUUGGCAACAAUCCAGAAGAGGUUCAUCAUCAGGCCCCCCUGCUCCUUCUGUUGCUGCCUUUGUACCAGCAUAUUUAAAACCAAGAAGAAUGUCGACAGAAGAGGCUUUAGUGGCUGCAUUUUAUAAGAUAAAUGACUCAUUGGAUCAGCUUAACAGGAAAAUGGACAUGAUAAAUGCGAAAAUGGAUGUUUCAAUUACUAAAAUCAACCUAAAUACAGAAAGUAUAAAUAAUACCAAUACAGAAACCACCCAGAAAUUGAUACAGGAACCUACUUUGAUACGGCAAACUGCGGAGGAAGCCAGGGAAAAAGCUGUUGUUGCUGAAUGUAAAGUAACACAACUGGAGAGAAAGAGAAAGAGAGCCCCAGCCCUACAGAAGCAAUUUGAUGAACAUAAGUUGACGCUUGCUAUGACUGAACUUAAAGAAAAACAGACGAAUUUGAGGAUUAGAGUUCACUUUUGGUGGACAUGCCCAAGGAUUAAGACACUUUGGGAGAUGAUCUAUAACGAAAUGAAAAAGGUAUUUAAAUAUACCCUCUUGAAGAAGCCAGAGGCCUUUCUCCUGGGCAUGGUCGGCCAAUUGGUGUUAAAGAAGAAUAGAACUUUUUCCACGUAUGCAACAAUGGCAGCAAGAAUAUUCAUUGUGAAGUACUGGAAGACACAAGAUUUAUCUAUUCGGGAAGAAUGGCAGAUGAAGUUGAUGGACUAUAUGGAAUUGGCGGAAACGACUGGCAGAAAUCCGAGACCAGGGAGAAGAGUCAGUGUAAGAAGACUGGAAAAAGUUUAGGACUAUUUAUAGAAAUAUUGUAAAAAUAAUGAAUGUAAGAAAAAUGUUGGAAUGAAGUUAUAUGGCUCUAGUAGAAAUGCUAUAAGGAAUUAAGUAUAAAUAGAUUAAUAGAGUAUUAAAGGGAAAAAUAAGGUCAAAAUAUGUUAAGAUAAUUAUAGGAUAGAAACAGAGGAAGAUGGAAAGGAAUUGCUGAAACAAUUAAUAGAAGUGGAAUACAAAAAGGGAGGUGUGAGGAGGUCGUGGAAAUAAGGGAAUGAAAGAUAAGAUAUUGAAAUUGUUUUGUGUGUUAAAUGGUUUGUGUCUUAUUUUGUUAUGCUUUUUUUGUUUUGUCUAUUUUGUUGUGUUUAAACGGUUGAAAAUUAAUAAAUAUUAUUUUUAGUUUUUUUAAAAAAAGAGACUGUCUUUCUAGCGAUCUGCAAGCUGCUCCAGUAUUAUUAAUUUUAUUAUUAUUAUUACUGAACAGGUGUAUCUCAAGGACUGCCUCUCUCCAAAUGAACUGACAUGGACCCUCCAAUCAUCUAAAGAAAGUGACUGGUAUUUCCUGGUGUUUUAAAACCUCUUAUUCGCUUGCCACCUGUAUGGCAGAGUGCUUUAUAGACUGGUUAUCUGUUCAAAGCCAAGG